rnacentral:rRNA from 1 species
AUUGAACGCUGGCGGCAUGCUUUACACAUGCAAGUCGAACGGUAACAGGCCGCAAGGUGCUGACGAGUGGCGAACGGGUGAGUAAUGCAUCGGAACGUGCCCAGUCGUGGGGGAUAACUGCUCGAAAGAGCAGCGAAUACCGCAUACGAUCUAUGGAUGAAAGCGGGGGACCGGAAGGCCUCGCGCGAUUGGAGCGGCCGAUGUCAGAUUAGGUAGUUGGUGGGGUAAAGGCUCACCAAGCCAACGAUCUGUAGCUGGUCUGAGAGGACGACCAGCCACACUGGGACUGAGACACGGCCCAGACUCCUACGGGAGGCAGCAGUGGGGAAUUUUGGACAAUGGGGGCAACCCUGAUCCAGCAAUGCCGCGUGCAGGAAGAAGGCCUUCGGGUUGUAAACUGCUUUUGUACGGAACGAAACGGUCUGGGUUAAUACCCUGGGCUAAUGACGGUACCGUAAGAAUAAGCACCGGCUAACUACGUGCCAGCCGCCGCCGUAAAAC